rnacentral:misc_RNA from 1 species
CUGCGAGUUCCGCGGGAGAGUAGGUUAUUGCCAGGGUUUUUAUUUUUAUACUUUAAACUUUGAUUUUAUUUUUAUGUUUUUUAAAUAUUGGUGUUUUUGAAUGUGUUGUUUAAAUAACAUAAAAAAUAAAAUAUAUAUUGACAUGUAUUAAACAAAGAUAUAUAUUAUUUUAUGUUGUAUAAAUAAAUUGGCAAAAUAGAGAUGGAAGAUAAAAAUAUGGUCAAAGUAAUAAGAGUCUAUGGUGAAUGCCUAGGA